UCAUAGUAACGUUAUCAUAAACAAAUGUUAAGUAAAAAAGUGUUCUGUGGUUUCAGGAGUGAGAGAAUAACCCCCUGCUACAGAAAACAUAACACAAGAUUCCUAAAUUUCUGAAGGGAGCUGAUCACAGAGAUGCAGAAAAGACAGGAGGUCAAAGUUUAACCUAAGUGCCGUGUAGCUGAUGAACAUCUUUUUAUGCAAAACCGGAGCACCCAGAGAAAACCCACUCAAACGCAGGGAGAAUUUGC